CUCAAAAUUUGAUUUACAUCGAACCAAACGCAACCUAAGGGGAACGACGUCGUUCCCUUGCAACUGAAAACAAAAUAAAAAACCCUACCCCCAUCGAUACCCUAGCCUCACCGAUUUCUGAGAAAAAAAUUAAGGGGCUGAGGAAAUUGACUGAGGGAGAAAGAAAGAGGGGGAAAGAGAAAGAAAGUGAGGCUCACUUCACUGCCCCAUCAAGUAUGAGGUGAGUCCUCAUGAGCGCACCUGUCUCCACCAUGCUCAGAUCCAAAUACAAUGUUCGAUCCAUGCCCGUGCAAAAAGACGAUGAGGUCCAAGUUGUUUGUGGCACCUUCAAGGGUUGCGAGGGCAAGGUUGUCUAGGUCUACCGUCAUCUCAAGACAAGGAAGAUUCUUAGUGGAGGGCAUGAAGCCGAUGGACUUUAUUCCUGGAUCAGCGUGGUUCUUCCAAUUUAGUGGCUUCUUACUGUCUAUCACCUCUUUAGCAUCAUUGUCGCAUUGGCCAUCCAUCUCUCAAGAAUUUGAAGUUGUUAAUCCCGUGGUGUCAUUAAAUUGAGUCAUUACAAUGUGAAGCAUGUCGUUUGGUUAAACACCAUAAGGUGCCAUUUGUGUCUAGGUGUGAGAGUCGUGUUAGUAGUCCAUUUCAUUUAGUUCAUUAUGAUAUUUGAGGUCCAAUAAACACUCCCUCAUUAUUGGAAUUUAGAUAUUUUGUCACUUUUGUUGAUUAUUCUAGGGUCACCUAUCUUUAUCUUAUGAAAGAAAGGUCUGAAUUGUACUCAAUUUUCAAAUCAUUUUUUAUGGAAAUAAAGACUCAAUUUAAUGCUUCACUUCA